CCUACGGGAGGCAGCAGUGAGGAAUAUUGGUCAAUGGCCGGAAGGCUGAACCAGCCAAGCCGCGUGAAGGACGAAGGUGCCAAGCAUUGUAAACUUCUUUUGUCAAGGGACAAAAUCAGGCUCGAGAGCCUGACCGAGGGUACUUGAAGAAAAAGCAUCGGCUAACUCCGUGCCAGCAGCCGCGGUAAUACGGAGUAUGCGAGCGUUAUCCGGCUUUAUUGGGUUUAAAGGGUGCGUAGGCGGGCUGUUAAGUCAGCGGUAAAAGCCCGGGGCUCAACCCCGGCGAGCCGUUGAUACUGGCAUCUAUGAGUACAGUAGAGGUAGGCGGAAUACGUGGUGUAGCAGUGAAAUGCUUAGAUAUCACGAAGAAGUCCGAUUGCGAAGGCAGCCUGCUGGACUGUAACUGACGCUGAUGCUCGAAAGUGUGGGUAUCAAACAGGAGUAGAUACCCCGGUAGUC
rnacentral:rRNA from 1 species